rnacentral:rRNA from 1 species
CAGCAGCCGCGGUAAUACCGGCGGCCCGAGUGGCGGCCACUUUUAUUGGGCCUAAAGCGUCCGUAGCCGGGUUGGGAAGUCCUCCGGGAAAUCUGGCCGCUUAACGGUCAGAAUGCCGGAGGAUACUCCCAGCCUAGGGAGCGGGAGAGGCCGAGGGUAUUCCCGGAGUAGGGGUGAAAUCCUAUAAUCCCGGGAGGACCACCUGUGGCGAAGGCGCUCGGCUGGAACGCGUCCGACGGUGAGGGACGAAGGCCAGGGGAGCAAACCGGAUUAGAUACCCGGGUAGUCCUGGCUGUAAACGAUGCGGACUUUGUGUCGGACAAGCUAUGAGCUUGUCCGGUGCCGGAGGGAAACCGUUAAGUCCGCCGCCUGGGGAGUACGGCCGCAAGGCUGAAACUUAAAGGAAUUGGCGGG